GUGGGUGUGGCGAAGCGGUUAACGCACCGGAUUGUGGCUCCGGCACUCGUGGGUUCAAAUCCCAUCACUCACCCCA
rnacentral:tRNA from 1 species